AGUGAACGCUGGCGGUAGGCCUAACACAUGCAAGUCGAACGGCAGCACAGUAAGAGCUUGCUCUUACGGGUGGCGAGUGGCGGACGGGUGAGGAAUACAUCGGAAUCUACUUUUUCGUGGGGGAUAACGUAGGGAAACUUACGCUAAUACCGCAUACGACCUACGGGUGAAAGCAGGGGAUCUUCGGACCUUGCGCGAUUGAAUGAGCCGAUGUCGGAUUAGCUAGUUGGCGGGGUAAAGGCCCACCAAGGCGACGAUCCGUAGCUGGUCUGAGAGGAUGAGCAGCCACACUGGAACUGAGACACGGUCCAGACUCCUACGGGAGGCAGCAGUGGGGAAUAUUGGACGAUGGGCGCAAGCCUGAUCCAGCCAUACCGCGUGGGUGAAGAAGGCCUUCGGGUUGUAAAGCCCUUUUGUUGGGAAAGAAAAGCAGCAGGUUAAUACCCCGCUGUUCUGACGGUACCCAAAGAAUAAGCACCGGCUAACUUCG
rnacentral:rRNA from 1 species